rnacentral:rRNA from 1 species
GCGCCUUGCGCGCACCGGCGGACGGCUCAGUAACACGUCGGUAACCUACCCUCGGGAGGGGGAUAACCCCGGGAAACUGGGGCUAAUCCCCCAUAGGCCUGAGGUACUGGAAGGUCCUCAGGCCGAAAGGGGCUCUGCCCGCCCGAGGAUGGGCCGGCGGCCGAUUAGGUAGUUGGUGGGGUAACGGCCCACCAAGCCGAAGAUCGGUACGGGCCAUGAGAGUGGGAGCCCGGAGAUGGACACUGAGACACGGGUCCAGGCCCUACGGGGCGCAGCAGGCGCGAAACCUCCGCAAUGCGGGCAACCGCGACGGGGGGACCCCCAGUGCCGUGGCAUCGCCACGGCUUUUCCGGAGUGUAAAGAGCUCCGGGAAUAAGGGCUGGGCAAGGCCGGUGGCAGCCGCCGCGGUAAUACCGGCGGCCCGAGUGGUGGCCGCUAUUAUUGGGC